rnacentral:rRNA from 1 species
UGUAGUCAUAUGCUUGUCUCAAAGAUUAAGCCAUGCAUGUCUAAGUAUAAAUAACUUUAUAUUGUGAAACUGCGAAUGGCUCAUUAAAUCAGUUAUGAUCUACGUGACAAAUUCUUUACUACUUGGAUAACCGUGGUAAUUCUAGAGCUAAUACAUGCAAAAAAGCCCUGACUCACGAAGGGGUGCACUUAUUAGAUAAAACCAACGCGGGGUAAAACCUGUUUCGUGGUGAAUCAUAAUAAUUAAGCGGAUCGCAUGGCCUUGAGCCGGCGACGGUCCACUCGAUUUUCUGCCCUAUCAUGGUUGAGAUUGUAAGAUAGAGGCUUACAAUGCCUACAACGGGUAACGGGGAAUGGGGCGGGG